rnacentral:rRNA from 1 species
UACGUAGGGUGCGAGCGUUGUCCGGAAUUACUGGGCGUAAAGAGCUCGUAGGCGGUCUGUCACGUCGGCUGUGAAAACCCGAGGCUCAACCUCGGGCCUGCAGUCGAUACGGGCAGACUAGAGUUCGGUAGGGGAGACUGGAAUUCCUGGUGUAGCGGUGAAAUGCGCAGAUAUCAGGAAGAACACCCGUGGCGAAGGCGGCUCUCUGGGACGGUACUGACGGCUGAGACGCGAAAGCGUGGGGAGCGAACAGG